UCAGGCUUUUGGAGGACAACCACAACAAGAAUCCACUUAAGAAGAAUUAGUCUCUUAAAUGAUCCAGUAAAUGCUCUUAGGAUGCCUUGGAAUGGCCCCAAAGCCCUCUGGGAAUUCUUCACACUUCCCAAGGACUGUGUGGCAGCUCUGCCAGGCCACUGACACCUGAGUCCUGGCCCCACAACCUCACCGAUCUGAAGCUACUACAAGGGCACGGGCAGCUCUCAUAUGCAGCUCAGUGCCAGGCAGGAAGUAUUGACCACACAGAGGCUACCGUUUGCUAUAUGCCCAUGCCCCCAGGUCCCUUUUAUAGGAGGAGAGCAACUCAGGCAGUGUGUACAGUCUAGUGGAGGGGACAGAUACAAAGUAUACACAGCAGUCUCUAAAUUGAAAAUACUGAAAAAAAAAAAAACAAAAUACUUGUGCAGGGAAUAAGGAUGAAAAGUAAAGACCCCCCCCAGGCAGGGGACAAGCUCUAAACUAGCGAGUUUCUGUGACUCACCUCCAAGGGAACUCAUAUUAAAAAACAGAGCCCCUUCUUUUUGCCCCCCUGAAUGAUCGUGAAGAUCAGAUCUCAGGUUUUCUUCAUUCCAUAAAGUCUCCCCAGAACCCUAGACUCUUCCCUACUUCCAUGAACUAGCCCUCAGAGAUUAUCCUAAAAUGUGAAUGUAACUGUUCUCAGCAUCCCCAGGCUGUUUCCUGAAUUCCGGAUACCCUUCUUGCCUGUAUCCUGUGGUAUGGUCCCUAAGUGUCCUGCAUUGACCCAGGCAAGAGCCAGCUUCAAGAACUUCUGGAAAGACAUGAGUCUUUCUUCUUGGUGAUUUUAGGGAAAGAAGAUCGGAGGAUGUGCUGGAAGAAGCCUAGAGGAGAGGAAGAAAGAGAGGCGGGUGCUACAGAGGAGGCGCCAGUAGGGACAACCUGGCAGGGGUUGGGUCUGACCCACACCUGCCCCCUACCUGAGGUACCCACCAAGUGAGCAUUCCGCUCCGUCCGAGGUGCUGUCCUUUGCCCUCCACUCUCUGGCCCUUGUCCUUGCUUUCAAGUCUGUAUGCAGUUGGUUCCAGCUACUCAAGGAACAGAGAAUUAAAAACCCAUGCGUUUCUGGUGUCAUCUAUUAUCAG